GAUGAACGCUAGCUACAGGCUUAACACAUGCAAGUCGCGGGGCAGCAUGGGGGUUGCUUGCAACUCCCGAUGGCGACCGGCGCACGGGUGAGUAACGCGUAUCCAACCUGCCCUUCACCACGGGAUAACCCGGCGAAAGUCGGACUAAUACCGUAUGUUGUCCAUUGACGGCAUCCGAUUUGGACGAAAGGCUUUGCGGAGAAGGAUGGGGAUGCGUCCGAUUAGCCAGACGGCGGGGUAACGGCCCACCGUGGCUACGAUCGGUAGGGGUUCUGAGAGGAAGGUCCCCCACACUGGAACUGAGACACGGUCCAGACUCCUACGGGAGGCAGCAGUGAGGAAUAUUGGUCAAUGGGCGUAAGCCUGAACCAGCCAAGUAGCGUGCAGGAUGACGGCCCUAUGGGUUGUAAACUGCUUUUAUGCGGGGAUAAAGUGGCCCACGUGUGGGCUUUUGCAGGUACCGCAUGAAUAAGGACCGGCUAAUUCCGUG
rnacentral:rRNA from 1 species